rnacentral:rRNA from 1 species
CCUACGGGAGGCAGCAGUGAGGAAUCUUGGUCAAUGGGCGCGAGCCUGAACCAGCCAAGUCGCGUGAGGGAAGACGGUCCUAUGGAUUGUAAACCUCUUUUGUCGGGGAGCAAAAGACGCCACGCGUGGCGUUCCGAGAGUACCCGACGAAAAAGCAUCGGGUAACUCCGUGCCAGCAGCCGCGGUAAUACGGAGGAUGCGAGCGUUAUCCGGAUUUAUUGGGUUUAAAGGGUGCGCAGGCGGGAGAUCAAGUCAGCGGUAAAAGUGAGAGGCUCAACCUCUUCGAGCCGUUGAAACUGGUUGUCUUGAGUGAGUGAGAGGGAUGCGGAAUGCGUGGUGUAGCGGUGAAAUGCAUAGAUAUCACGCAGAACGCCGAUUGCGAAGGCAGCAUACCGGCGCUCAACUGACGCUCAGGCACGAAAGUGUGGGUAUCGAACAGGAUUAGAUACCCCGGUAGUC